rnacentral:sRNA from 1 species
GGGCCUCGGUGACCGGUCUACACCGGGAUGUUCAUAACCCUUUGUUGUCCGACUCUGUUGCCUCCGGGGCGACCCUGCCUUCGGGCGGGGGCUCCGGGUGGACACUUCAAACUCUUGCGUAACUUUGCAGUCUGAGUAAACUUAAUUAAUAAAUUAAAACUUUUAACAACGGAUCUCUUGGUUCUGGCAUCGAUGAAGAACGCAGCGAAAUGCGAUAAGUAAUGUGAAUUGCAGAAUUCAGUGAAUCAUCGAAUCUUUGAACGCACAUUGCGCCCCCUGGUAUUCCGGGGGGCAUGCCUGUUCGAGCGUCAUUUCACCACUCAAGCCUCGCUUGGUAUUGGGCAACGCGGUCCGCCGCGUGCCUCAAAUCGACCGGCUGGGUCUUCUGUCCCCUAAGCGUUGUGGAAACUAUUCGCUAAAGGGUGUUCGGGAGGCUACGCCGUAAAACAACCCCAUUUCUAAGGUUGACCUCGGAUCAGGUAGGGAUACCCGCUGAACUUAAGCAUAUCAAUAAGCGGAGGA